rnacentral:rRNA from 1 species
GUCCUUUAGAAUUUAAUUUAAGGUCUAGCCUGCCCACUGAAAUUAAUUUUAAAUGGCCGCAGUAAUUUGACUGUGCAAAGGUAGCAUAAUCAUUAGUUUUUUAAUUGAAAGCUUGUAUGAAGGGUUGGACGAGGUAAAAUCUGUCUCUAAUUAAUUUAAUUUAGAAUUUAACUUUUAAGUCAAAAGGCUUAAAUAUAAUUAAAAGACGAGAAGACCCUAUAGAUCUUUAUAAUUUAUUUAUUAAAUUUAAUUAAGAAUUUUUUAAAUUUUAUUAAUUUAAUUAUUUUAUUGGGGUAAUAUAAAGAUUAAAUUAAUUCUUUUUUUUUAUUUACAUUAAUUUAUGAUUUUAUGAUCCAAUUUUAUUGGUUAUAAGAUUAAGUUACCUUAGGGAUAACAGCGUUAUUUUUUUAGAGAGUUCUUAUCGAUAAAAAAGUUUACGACCUCGAUGUUGGAUUAAAGAUUAUUUCAGGUGUAGAAGUUUGAAAAUUUUGGUCUGUUCGACCAUUAAAUCUUUACAUGAUCUGAGUUCAGACCGGUGUAAGCCAGGUCGGUUUCUAUCUUUAAUAAAUUAAAAUAUUUUAGUACGAAAGGACCAAUUAUUUAAUAUAAAAUAUUUAAAUUUUGAUUAUUAUUAA